AACUUUCCUUUUCCCUACUUUUAUUUUAGUCCCAUGAGUGAAUGCAUAAAUAAUUGAAGGUUGGUGUCGCUCGCCUAAUUUUUUUUUAGGCGUUUGUUACAAUACUUGAUGUUGCCAUUGUAUUUAAUAUAAAUCAUGUACGUGUAAAGAGCUACUGGAAACAUAAAGUAAAGUACUUAAGAGAAAUAUGGAUUCGACUUAUCGAAUGUAUGAAUAAUUAUUUCCUCAUCUAAUUUUCCGCUUUUGUAUCUAUUAUAACAUGUGUGUUGCCAUUUUCACCAUAUAAAAGGCGAAAGGAACCAGAUCGCUAAUAGAAGUCAUAAGAGUGAAGUUAGAUUGAAUGAGUAAUUAGGGGAUUGCUUUGGCUGUUUGUUUCAAAUGUUUCUUUAUCCAUAUUUUAGAGGCUGUUUUGCUCUAAUCUUUGUGAAAAACUAGUAUAAAAAAAAAAUGCAAUCAGUGAUGGCUUGCUAGUUGGUUUUAAAACACAGUCCAUACAUGUGGUUCUAGUGCCUGUUUGUUUGCUGUUUUUAGCAUGGUAUUCACCUUUGUUCCUUAUUUCGUUUCAGUUUAUAAAAUUAAAAUGUAGUCACUUGAAUAUUUUUAGAUUCCGUUCAAGUCUCUGUUACGUCUGUGUAGAAUAUGUAAUCUUGUCUCUGUUUCUUCUAAAAUCAAGGUGCCCACGGGCUAGUACGAAUCAUGAGUUUAUUUAACGAAAGAUAUCAUAUAUUUGGGUUUCAAAAUUAUUUUUCACUUGUAACUUGAAUUUGUAAUGUGUAUGAACUUCCCUAAUGAGUGAAAACUGGAAGAAAUUAGUUCGUAAUCUGCCCUAUGUUCUCAAGUUCUCUUUGCUUGAAAUUACUUUUUUUUUGGAGUAUUAAACAAGGAUUAGUUUAACAACCUUAUUUUUCUAUAAUUAGUGCUUGAUCUCUACCAAAUUCAUGUCAUGAUAUUUAAAAAGGAAGUAUGUAUCGAAAGAAUUUGUCUCAUUUGAAAGCUCCUCCUAAGAAACCUCUCAUGUAUAAAUAUUCGUAAAAUAUCCAAGUUCAAGUCUAGUUUGCCUUUUCUUUCAGUAGCUUCUCUGAAUAAAAUCCUUACUUCUAGUAUUGUUUUGCCGGCUGAAAGUCAAGGUAAACCUUGGGUUUUGGUUUAGCCUCCUCCGAUAGUCUGCAAUGCCUAAGGCUCUAGAAAUCUUUUUGACCUUGUGCGGUAUCAAAAACUCGGAAGGUGGUAACCCCCCUUUGUUGCCUGAAUCAUUGAGCUUGAUGUUUAUUAUUUGUAGUCAGCCUUAAGGCCCAUUAAAUUUUAAAAGCAUGUUUGGUUAGUUGGUAUUUCUUUUACUUUCUGGAAAAUUAUUCCAAAUGAUCGACUUCUCUCUUAAGCCAAGUUAUUUCCGAGAUUCUUAAUAGUAAGUGACUAUGUCUUUACAAUUUGUGAAAUCAAGAUACGUUGAUUUUAUUUUGAAACUGUCUUGUAUGUUCUUUCGCAAUAUGUCAAUAUGUCUUUCAAAAUUUUGACAAAAUCAAGUCAAUAUUUCAAAACGUCAAAACACUUUGUACUUCACUUGUUGUUAUCUUGUUAAAAAUAUGUACUCCCAGAUUCUUAUUCUUCACCCCUUUCUUAUCUUGGCAUGACUUGUGGGGAGCUUCAAACCUCCAAUCUUUGCUGCACUUCGAGGCUACAGUUUUGAACUAAUGAUCUCCGAGGAAUUAGAGGCAGGCGUUGCUUUUUGUAGUUGCUGCCAUUUUUUAGGCCAUUUGCUGCUAUGUUUUAGGGCAAGAGCUACUGCAUUUUGGCCAUUCAAACCUCAUUUUGCUAAUGAAAUAUUACUUGCAUUUUUGGCUGAGUGAUCGCUGCACUUUAAGGAUGAAAAUGACAUGUUAUUGAGACUUGGGAGGAGCAAGUCGUGGAAAUGGAGUAAAAAGACGUUCAAAGAAAGAAAAAUAACUGAAACCUGACUUAUACGGAUAAACAUACGGACCGUAUAAUAUUUACAGUCCGUCAAAGCCAUCGUAGAUGCAUAACAGUAAGGCCUCAAACCUGAAGAGGAAAUCAAGGCAGAAGUACAGACCGUAUAUUAUUUACGAUCCGUAAAUCCCACUAUAGAUUGGUUCCAGCGAAGUCUCAAAGGGAAGAGGAUUGCACAGACAAGUUAUACGGGCCGUAUAAUAUUUACGGUCCAUAAAAGUGGAUCGUAUAUCUAGCAACUGAAAAAGAUUUUAUGGAGAAGUGCUCACUGACCGUAUAAAUUGUACGGUCCGUACAUUGGUCCGUCAGUGGAAAUUUUGUUAAUCAUAUUUUGCACGACUUAAACUCUUAUAAUUUACUUGAUUUAGGUUUCUUGUAAAGGGAUAUACACCAGAUUUCAGCUUUUAUUUUCUUUAGCAAUUUACUCAUAGUUUUGGAAGUCUUUUGGGGAUUACAAACAAUUGCAAAUUUAUUUAUCUUCAAUUCCAAGCAAUCAAUUCGUAAGCAUUAUGAUCUCAA